UACGUAGGGGGCAAGCGUUGUCCGGAUUUAUUGGGCGUAAAGAGCUCGUAGGCGGUUUGGUAAGUCAGGUGUGAAAUCUCCACGCUCAACGUGGAGGGGCCACCUGAUACUGCCAUGACUGGAGUCCGGUAGAGGAGUGUGGAAUUCCCGGUGUAGCGGUGAAAUGCGCAGAUAUCGGGAGGAACACCGAUGGCGAAGGCAGGUCUCUGGGCUAACACUGACGCUCAUGCACGAAAGCGUGGGGAGCAAACAGG
rnacentral:rRNA from 1 species